rnacentral:rRNA from 1 species
GCAAGUCGAACGAAGCCUUCGGGCUUAGUGGCGAACGGGUGAGUAACGCGUGGGAACCUGCCCCCGAGUGGGGAACAACCGCUGGAAACGGCGGCUAAUACCGCAUACGCCUCUUCGGAGGGAAAGCUUUAUGCGCUCAGGGAGGGUCCCGCGUCUGAUUAGCUUGUUGGUAGGGUAACGGCCUACCAAGGCGACGAUCAGUAGCUGGUCUGAGAGGAUGAUC